UACAGAGGUGGCAAGCGUUGUUCGGAAUUACUGGGCGUAAAGGGCGCGUAGGCGGCCUGUUAAGUCGAACGUGAAAUCCCCGGGCUCAACCCGGGAACUGCGUCCGAUACUGGCGGGCUUGAAUCCGGGAGAGGGAUGUGGAAUUCCAGGUGUAGCGGUGAAAUGCGUAGAUAUCUGGAGGAACACCGGUGGCGAAGGCGGCAUCCUGGACCGGUAUUGACGCUGAGGCGCGAAAGCCAGGGGAGCAAACGGG
rnacentral:rRNA from 1 species